GAAAUGCGAUAAGUAAUGUGAAUUGCAGAAUUCAGUGAAUCAUCGAAUCUUUGAACGCACCUUGCGCUCCUUGGUAUUCCGAGGAGCAUGCCUGUUUGAGUGUCAUUAAAUUCUCAACCUUUUCAGCUUUUGCAAGUUGGAUUGGCUUGGAUGUGGAGGUUAUUGCGGGCUUCUCUAGAAGUCAGCUCCUCUUAAAUGCAUUAGCGGAACCUUUGUGGACCAGCUUUUGGUGUGAUAAUUAUCUACGCCAUGGUUGUGAAGCAGCUUUAACAUGGGGUUCAGCUUCUAACAGUCCAUUGACUUGGACAAAUUUAUGACAUUUUUGACCUCAAAUCAGGUAGGACUACCCGCUGAACUUAA
rnacentral:misc_RNA from 1 species